rnacentral:rRNA from 1 species
AUUGAACGCUGGCGGCAGGCUUAACACAUGCAAGUCGAGCGGGGUGAUGGUGCUUGCACUAUCACUUAGCGGCGGACGGGUGAGUAAUGCUUAGGAAUCUGCCUAUUAGUGGGGGACAACAUCUCGAAAGGGAUGCUAAUACCGCAUACGUCCUACGGGAGAAAGCAGGGGAUCACUUGUGACCUUGCGCUAAUAGAUGAGCCUAAGUCGGAUUAGCUAGUUGGUGGGGUAAAGGCCAACCAAGGCGACGAUCUGUAGCGGGUCUGAGAGGAUGAUCCGCCACACUGGGACUGAGACACGGCCCAGACUCCUACGGGAGGCAGCAGUGGGGAAUAUUGGACAAUGGGGGGAACCCUGAUCCAGCCAUGCCGCGUGUGUGAAGAAGGCCUUAUGGUUGUAAAGCACUUUAAGCGAGGAGGAGGCUAUUUUGGUUAAUACCCAAGAUGAGUGGACGUUACUCGCAGAAUAAGCACCGGCUAACUCUGUGCCAGCAGCCGCCGUAA